rnacentral:pre_miRNA from 14 species
UCGGACACUCUUUCGCUCAGCUUUCGACAUGAUUCUAAACAAUACGUCGAGACAAUGUUGUUGAGAUCAUUAGUUGAAAGCCGAACGAUUUUGAGAUAUCCA